AACGUGCUCCGGGGUCGGUGAAACUCCGAACCGGCGGUGAUAGUCCGCGACCCGGCGGCUCCUUGUGAGCCAAUGGUUGAACCGGUGGGAUUCCGGUACCGACGGUUAAAGUCCGGAUGGGAGGCGCACGCG
rfam:Tessaracoccus lapidicaptus strain IPBSL-7 NODE_17_length_36296_cov_125.86, whole genome shotgun sequence.